CGGGAGGCAGCAGUAGGGAAUCUUCCGCAAUGGACGAAAGUCUGACGGAGCGACGCCGCGUGAGCGAAGAAGGUCUUCGGAUCGUAAAGCUCUGUUGUUAGGGAAGAAGAAGUACCGUUCGAAUAGGGCGGUACGGUGACGGUACGUAACGAGAAAGCCCCGGCUAACUAC
rnacentral:rRNA from 1 species